rnacentral:lncRNA from 1 species
AUGGAGACAGGUAUUUUCCCUACAGCAAUCUUACAUAUUCUCAAUGAUUGGCAAAAUGCUGUUUCUAUCUAUCUAAAGGAUUCCUGGCUUUGCCAUGGUACCACCCUGGAGAACUUAAUCUUGGAGGCAUUAUUCACAUUUACCAAAGGGUCUACAUCAUCAGAUCAGAGAAAAAAGAGAUCCAGAGGGAUUUUCCCUCUCACAGUUCUUGGUUUCUCCAGAAAUUUUGGCACCCGAACACCUGAAUUUUGAAGACUUCACUUCUUAGUCCUUGCAGUGUUGUUUUAGAAAAGAGGGAAACCAAAUCCUUUUGUUGGUCAGCUGGAAAUCUGCUCAGCCACCUGAGAUUCAUUGUGGAUGAAAGUGUUUACAAUGCUUGGUGUAAGUAUCUCCACUCAAAUGUCAGCCAGGGGCCCCGUUAAGUCAACAGGAGCUUUUCCCAUUGACUCCAGUGUCCUUUGAAUGAGCCUGAGGUGGUGAAUGUUUCAAUACUUCGUUGUGUGGGAGCCUGAUUUUGUAGUUAAGGCACUGGUGUGGAUACAGGAGAAUAGUUGUGGUGGGUCCCUAACCUUUACAAUUAAG